CAAUAGCCCUGAUGGGAGCGGAAAUACUUUUUGGCACGGUUGGAUAAUUUGUGCUUGAAUGGACCUGCCAAAAAGAUUGGAGUGGACAGCAGGAAGGCAU
rnacentral:sRNA from 1 species